rnacentral:rRNA from 1 species
GCUGGCAGCCAUAUCACCCUGUAGCCCAAGACUAGUUACCCACUGAAGCUAAGCAGGGCUGAGCCUGGUUAGUACCUGGAUGGGAGACUUCCAGGGAAAACUAGGUUGCUGCUGGAA